GAUGAACGCUGGCGGCGUGCCUAACACAUGCAAGUCGAACGAAGCACUUUUUUGGAUCCUUCGGGUGAAGAUAAAGUGACUGAGUGGCGGACGGGUGAGUAACGCGUGGGUAACCUGCCCUGUACGAGGGGAUAACAGCUAGGAAACGGCUGACUAAUACCGCAUAAGCGCACAGGAAGACAUCUUCGUGGUGUAGAAAACUCCGGUGGUACAGGAGUCGGGCCCGCGUCUGAUUAGCUUGUUGGCGGGGUAAGGGCCCACCAAGGCGCGAUCAGUAGCCGGUCUGAGAGGAUGAACGGCCACA
rnacentral:rRNA from 1 species